GAUGAAGAACGCAGCGAAAUGCGAUAAGUAGUGUGAAUUGCAGAAUUCCGUGAAUCAUCGAAUCUUUGAACGCACAUUGCGCCUUCUGGUAUUCCGGAAGGCAUGCCUGUUCGAGAGUCAUUAACAACCGUUUCGAUCCCUUUCUUUCAGAAAUUACAAAGAGGAAAAGGGUUUGGUUAUGGUGGAGGAGGGAAAGGGAGCGUUUAGCCUGUAAAAAAAGAGGCUGUGUUCCGCCUCCCCCCCAAAAUUGUACAGGCGGUCGUGUGCGCCCACGCAUCGAGGUGUUGUAAAAGCUGCCACGGCACUUUUCACCUGUGCAGUGCGAGAUUGGCCAGCCGGUUUAAAAACCCCUCCAAACAUUCAAAGGUUGACCUCGGAUCAGGUAGGGAUACCCGCUGAACUUAAGCAUAUCAAUAAGCGGAGGA
rnacentral:misc_RNA from 1 species